AACGAACGCUGGCGGCAUGCCUAACACAUGCAAGUCGAACGAGACCUUCGGGUCUAGUGGCGCACGGGUGCGUAACGCGUGGGAACCUGCCCUUAGGUUCGGAAUAACUCCCCGAAAGGGGUGCUAAUACCGGAUAAUGUCUUCGGACCAAAGAUUUAUCGCCUUUGGAUGGGCCCGCGUUGGAUUAGCUAGUUGGUAGGGUAAAAGCCUACCAAGGCGACGAUCCAUAGCUGGUCUGAGAGGAUGAUCAGCCACACUGGGACUGAGACACGGCCCAGAUUCCUACGGGAGGCAGCAGUGGGGAAUAUUGGACAAUGAGCGAAAGCCUGAUCCAGCAAUGCCGCGUGAGUGAUGAAGGCCUUAGGGUUGUAAAGCUCUUUUACCCGGGAUGAUAAUGACAGUACCGGGAGAAUAAGCUCCGGCUAACUCCGUG
rnacentral:rRNA from 1 species